rnacentral:lncRNA from 1 species
UUAGAUUAUAAAAGAUUACAUGUCUCUUCCUCUUUCUAUUUAAAUUCAAUAAUAUGUAACCAUUAAUAAUAAUUAAUUAUAAAUCUUGAAAUAUUUAUUUAUUUUAUUAUGCCAAUAAUUAAACUUUAGUAGCUUAAAUAUAUCAAUUAAUUAAUAUAGGAAUGAAUGUUCCUUCAUCUUCUCUCAACAAUGUCAUUAGGGUAUAAUUUUAAUGCUAUAAUCUCAUAUUUAAUUAUGCAACCUUUUGUUUAGUGCCUUUUGGCUUCUUCAAACUCUAUAAAUAUUAAGUAGUUAAGAUUUGUGGC